rnacentral:rRNA from 1 species
CUUAUGGAUCUUGUCUUGUCUUGGAAGCUAAGCAGAUUGGACCUGGUGAGUACCUGGGUGGGAGACCACGGAAGAAUAGCAAAUUCUUAUAGGC